UGAACUUGUGAGUCUGUGCCAUCUUGCAGGAUUCGUGUUGGGUAGUUGAUAUAACGAACUGAUCCUCAACCCUAGUGAUGCAGUACCUGAGGAAAAAGGAUUUUCAUUUUGCUGAUAGCCUGGAGCCUUUUAUUAAUCGUCAUUUAUGGAGCACCUACCAUCAUUUAGGCAAAUGUCCAAGCCUGACAGAGAAAAGAGAAAGAGAAGCCUUUCUCUGGACAAAGAAAGCUCUUGUCCUCAGCCUGCCUCCCCCACUCUGUCCCAGAUCUGUACUUGGAGAAAGAGAAAUUAAGAGGGUCCAACCAAACCAAUGUCUGGGAGAGGAAUAAAGACACUUCUCAUCCCCAAGGACUUGAAAACGAGAAGCUCAACAGAGAACCCUACCAGUUCGGAACCUUGGAGCUGCCACCGGAACCAGGAAAAUCCUUCAAAAUUAAACUUACUUUUUAUUUCAUGAUAUUAAUACUUUGUACCAUUAAAAACUUGUACUUUA